rnacentral:rRNA from 1 species
CCUACGGGAGGCAGCAGUGGGGAAUAUUGGACAAUGGGGGGAACCCUGAUCCAGCGACGCCGCGUGAGUGAAGAAGUAUUUCGGUAUGUAAAGCUCUAUCAGCAGGGAAGAAAAUGACGGUACCUGAGUAAGAAGCCCCGGCUAACUACGUGCCAGCAGCCGCGGUAAUACGUAGGGGGCAAGCGUUAUCCGGAUUUACUGGGUGUAAAGGGAGCGUAGACGGCAGUGCAAGUCUGGAGUGAAAGGCGGGGGCUCAACCCCCGGACUGCUCUGGAAACUGUACGGCUGGAGUGCAGGAGAGGUAAGUGGAAGUCCUAGUGUAGCGGUGAAAUGCGUAGAUAUUAGGAGGAACACCGGGGGCGAAGGCGGCUUACUGGACUGUAACUGACGUUGAGGCUCGAAAGCGUGGGGAGCAAACAGGAUUAGAUACCCCGGUAGUC